CACGAAACUGUAUGAGUUAACUAUAAUUGAAACUAUGUUGCAAAAUAGAUACGAAGUUAUAGUUAGGGGUGAAAGGCUUUUCAAACACAGUGAUAUCUUGAUUUUUCUAAAAGGUAUUGAGUAUAUUGGAAGGUUUAGAGCGAUAAGGUUUUAAAUAAUCAUAAAAUGUGGUUAGUUAAGUAUGUUGAUAUAAAAGUCUACAAAGAUAUGCUUUAAUAUUGAUGACUGAGAAUUAUGGUGUAUAUAGGAAAAUAUUCACUAACUUUACCCUGAGUAAAUAAUGUUAAUAUUAGUAAUUAAAAGAUACUAAUAGUGAAUUCGGCAUUAAGCUUUCAACUGUUUAUCAAAAACAUAGCUACGUGAGGUACACGUAGUAAUUUCUGCUCAAUGAGACAUUAAAUAGCCGCAGUACCUUGACUGUGCAAAGGUAGCGUAAUCAAUUGUCUUUUAAUUAAAGACGGGUAUGAAGGAAUAUAUGGGGGCUUUCUUUACCAUUGGUGCUAGUAGAAUUUACUUAUCGAGUGAAAAUACUCGUGGAUAAAUAAUAGACGAGAAGACCCUUGAAAUUUAUAAGUAGUUUUUUGUUGGGGCAACAUAGUAGCAGAUAACCUACUGGAGUUAACUAGAAAUUCUGUAGUGCGAUUAAAUUACUCUAGGGAUAACAGCGUAAUUUUUGAUUGUUUGUGACCUCGAUGUUGGAUUAGGGAAUUGUCGCUAGAA
rnacentral:rRNA from 1 species